CUGUAAGACACCCACGAAUCCAACUUGGGGUACAUAUCCAAUGGAUGGUUCUACAACCGUCGGCAGUACCAAGACAAUAACUUGUUCUUCUAAAUAUGCCGUCAAUCCUUCUGGAACAACACAAACUAUCACAUGCCAAGCCAAUGGUACUUGGACAGUGCCUGGUGUGCAACCAUGUCUACGAGACUGUAAGACACCCACGAAUCCAACUUGGGGUACAUAUCCAAUGGAUGGUUCUACAACCGUCGGCGGUACCAAGACAAUAACUUGUUCUUCUAAAUAUGCCGUCAAUCCUUCUGCAACAACACAAACUAUCACAUGCCAAGCCAAUGGUACUUGGAAAGUGCCUGGUGUGCAACCAUGUCUACGAGACUGUAAGACACCCACGAAUCCAACUUGGGGUACAUAUCCAAUGGAUGGUUCUACAACCGUCGGCAGUACCAAGACAAUAACUUGUUCUCUUGACUAUGCCGUCAAUCCUUCUGCAACAACACAAACUAUCACAUGCCAAGCCAAUGGUACUUGGACAGUGCCUGGUGUGCAACCAUGUCUACGAGACUGUAAGACACCCACGAAUCCAACUUGGGGUACAUAUCCAAUGGAUGGUUCUACAACCGUCGGUAGUACCAAGACAAUAACUUGUUCUUCUAAAUAUGCCGUCAAUCCUUCUGCAACAACACAAACUAUCACAUGCCAAGCCAAUGGUACUUGGACAGUGCCUGGUGUGCAACCAUGUCUACGAGACUGUAAGACACCCACGAAUCCAACUUGGGGUACAUAUCCAAUGGAUGGUUCUACAACCGUCGGCAGUACCAAGGCAAUAACUUGUUCUUCUAAAUAUGCCGUCAAUCCUUCUGCAACAACACAAACUAUCACAUGCCAAGC